AAUGAAAACCAGCCGGGAAGCUGAGCAUGACCAAGAUCAACAUUCACCAGGACAACAGCAACCCCUCUGUCCAUCAGGCCCUUGACCAUGAAAAUUGAAAAGUUCCCCCCCAGCCUUAUCUUGGACCUGGCUAAGGCUCAGAAGCUGAGGAAAGCGAUGGCACGGGCUCCUUUGCUGGGUCUUACCCUUCUCCCCCACCCACUGCUUCGUUGGCAGGAAGGAGAGAUGGCAAAGUCACAACAAUGGAAGGUCCCUGGCUGGAGUCAAAUUGGAGCUGCAGGUGCCAGCCUACACUACAGUCACAGCAAUGCCAGAUCCAAGCCACCUCUGCAAUCUACGCCACACUUUGUGGCAAUGCUGGAGUGAGGCCAGGGAUCGAACCUGCAUCCUCACGGACACUAUGUUGGGUUCUUAACCUGCUGAGCCACAAUGGAAACUCUGUGGCUAGGUCAUUUUUUAAAAAACUGUUAAUUUCUACGUUGAUCGAUCUCUCUUUGAACAUUCACGCAAGAGAAAGUCAGUGGCCAUGCUGUGAGGACCUCAGGCAGCCUUCUGGAGAGGUUCACCUGGUGAAGAACUGGGGCCUCCAGCCAACAGCCAGCACCAACUUGUCAAUCACGUGCACAAGCCAUCUGAGAACUAGGUCCUUCAACUUGAAAUAAGCCUUCAGAUGACUGCAGCCCUAGCUGACACUUUUGACUUUAACCUCAUGAGAGACCUUCAGCACCCAAGGUAAACAGCUCCUCAAGUCUUUACUGUGUGAGAUAAUAAAUGCUCAUUGUUUUUUAAGC
ensembl:lncRNA